rnacentral:rRNA from 1 species
GACGAACGCUGGCGGCGUGCUUAACACAUGCAAGUCGAACGGAAAGGCCUGCUUUCCCUUGUGGAUUGCGGGUACUCGAGUGGCGAACGGGUGAGUAACACGUGAGUGAUCUGCCCCCAACUUGGGUAUAAGCCUGGGAAACUGGGUCUAAUUCCCGAUAGGACUGCAGGGUGGUGCCUGUGGUGGAAAACGAUUUUCUAGUGGUUGGGGAUGAGCUCGCGGCCUAUCAGCUUGUUGGUGGGGUAAUGGCCUACCAAGGCGGCGACGGGUAGCCGGCCUGGGAGGGUGGGCGGGCACAUUGGGACUGGGAUACGGGCCAGGCUCCUACGGGAGGCAGGAGUGGGGAAUAUUGCACAAAGGGCGGGAGCCUGAUGCAGCGACGGCGCGUGGGGGAUGACGGCCUUCGGGUUGUAAACUCCUUUCGACCGCGAGGAAGCCACCUGGUUGGAAGGGUGGUGACGGUAGUGGUAGAAGAAGCACCGGCUAACUACGUG